AGCGUACACGGUGGAUGCCCUGGCAGUCAGAGGCGAUGAAGGACGUGCUAAUCUGCGAAAAGCGUCGGUAAGGUGAUAUGAACCGUUACAGCCGGCGAUGUCCGAAUGGGGAAACCCAGUGUGAUUCGUCACACUAUCGUUAACUGAAUACAUAGGUUAACGAGGCGAACCGGGGGAACUGAAACAUCUAAGUACCCCGAGGAAAAGAAAUCAACCGAGAUUCCCCCAGUAGCGGCGAGCGAACGGGGAGCAGCCCAGAGUCUGAAUCAGCUUGUGUGUUAGUGGAACGGUCUGGAAAGUCCGACGGUACAGGGUGAUAGUCCCGUACACCAAAAUGCACAGGCUGUGAACUCGAAGAGUAGGGCGGGACACGUGGUAUCCUGUCUGAAUAUGGGGGGACCAUCCUCCAAGGCUAAAUACUCCUGACUGACCGAUAGUGAACCAGUACCGUGAGGGAAAGGCGAAAAGAACCCCGGCGAGGGGAGUGAAAAAGAACCUGAAACCGUGUACGUACAAGCAGUGGGAGCACCUUCGGGUGUGACUGCGUACCUUUUGUAUAAUGGGUCAGCGACUUAUAUUCUGUAGCAAGGUUAACCGUAUAGGGGAGCCGCAGGGAAACCGAGUCUUAACUGGGCGUUAAGUUGCAGGGUAUAGACCCGAAACCCGGUGAUCUAGCCAUGGGCAGGUUGAAGGUUGGGUAACACUAACUGGAGGACCGAACCGACUAAUGUUGAAAAAUUAGCGGAUGACUUGUGGCUGGGGGUGAAAGGCCAAUCAAACCGGGAGAUAGCUGGUUCUCCCCGAAAGCUAUUUAGGUAGCGCCUCGUGAAUUCAUCUUCGGGGGUAGAGCACUGUUUCGGCUAGGGGGUCAUCCCGACUUACCAACCCGAUGCAAACUACGAAUACCGAAGAAUGUUAUCACGGGAGACACACGGCGGGUGCUAACGUCCGUCGUGAAGAGGGAAACAACCCAGACCGCCAGCUAAGGUCCCAAAGUCACAGUUAAGUGGGAAACGAUGUGGGAAGGCACAGACAGCCAGGAUGUUGGCUUAGAAGCAGCCAUCAUUUAAAGAAAGCGUAAUAGCUCACUGGUCGAGUCGGCCUGCGCGGAAGAUGUAACGGGGCUAAACUGUGCACCGAAGCUGCGGCAGCGACACUAUGUGUUGUUGGGUAGGGGAGCGUUCUGUAAGCCUGCGAAGGUGGCCUGUGAGGGUUGCUGGAGGUAUCAGAAGUGCGAAUGCUGACAUAAGUAACGAUAAUGCGGGUGAAAAGCCCGCACGCCGGAAGACCAAGGGUUCCUGUCCAACGUUAAUCGGGGCAGGGUGAGUCGACCCCUAAGGCGAGGCCGAAAGGCGUAGUCGAUGGGAAACAGGUUAAUAUUCCUGUACUUGGUGUUACUGCGAAGGGGGGACGGAGAAGGCUAUGUUAGCCGGGCGACGGUUGUCCCGGUUUAAGCAUGUAGGCGGAGGUUCCAGGUAAAUCCGGUACCUUUUUAACGCUGAGGUGUGAUGACGAGGCACUACGGUGCUGAAGUAACAAAUGCCCUGCUUCCAGGAAAAGCCUCUAAGCAUCAGGUAACAUUAAAUCGUACCCCAAACCGACACAGGUGGUCAGGUAGAGAAUACCAAGGCGCUUGAGAGAACUCGGGUGAAGGAACUAGGCAAAAUGGUGCCGUAACUUCGGGAGAAGGCACGCUGAUAUGUAGGUGAAGCCCCUGCGGGUGGAGCUGAAAUCAGUCGAAGAUACCAGCUGGCUGCAACUGUUUAUUAAAAACACAGCACUGUGCAAACACGAAAGUGGACGUAUACGGUGUGACGCCUGCCCGGUGCCGGAAGGUUAAUUGAUGGGGUUAUCCGUAAGGAGAAGCUCUUGAUCGAAGCCCCGGUAAACGGCGGCCGUAACUAUAACGGUCCUAAGGUAGCGAAAUUCCUUGUCGGGUAAGUUCCGACCUGCACGAAUGGCGUAAUGAUGGCCAGGCUGUCUCCACCCGAGACUCAGUGAAAUUGAACUCGCUGUGAAGAUGCAGUGUACCCGCGGCAAGACGGAAAGACCCCGUGAACCUUUACUAUAGCUUGACACUGAACAUUGAGCCUUGAUGUGUAGGAUAGGUGGGAGGCUUUGAAGCGUGGACGCCAGUCUGCGUGGAGCCAACCUUGAAAUACCACCCUUUAAUGUUUGAUGUUCUAACGUUGGCCCCUUAUCGGGGUUGCGGACAGUGUCUGGUGGGUAGUUUGACUGGGGCGGUCUCCUCCCAAAGAGUAACGGAGGAGCACGAAGGUUAGCUAAUCCUGGUCGGACAUCAGGAGGUUAGUGCAAUGGCAUAAGCUAGCUUGACUGCGAGCGUGACGGCGCGAGCAGGUGCGAAAGCAGGUCAUAGUGAUCCGGUGGUUCUGAAUGGAAGGGCCAUCGCUCAACGGAUAAAAGGUACUCCGGGGAUAACAGGCUGAUACCGCCCAAGAGUUCAUAUCGACGGCGGUGUUUGGCACCUCGAUGUCGGCUCAUCACAUCCUGGGGCUGAAGUAGGUCCCAAGGGUAUGGCUGUUCGCCAUUUAAAGUGGUACGCGAGCUGGGUUUAGAACGUCGUGAGACAGUUCGGUCCCUAUCUGCCGUGGGCGCUGGAGAAUUGAGGGGGGCUGCUCCUAGUACGAGAGGACCGGAGUGGACGCAUCACUGGUGUUCGGGUUGUCAUGCCAAUGGCAUUGCCCGGUAGCUAAAUGCGGAAGAGAUAAGUGCUGAAAGCAUCUAAGCACGAAACUUGCCCCGAGAUGAGUUCU
rnacentral:rRNA from 1 species